rnacentral:rRNA from 1 species
UGCUGAAGCAACAAAUGCCCUGCUUCCAGGAAAAGCCUCUAAGCAUCAGGUAACAUCAAAUCGUACCCCAAACCGACACAGGUGGUCAGGUAGAGAAUACCAAGGCGCUUGAGAGAACUCGGGUGAAGGAACUAGGCAAAAUGGUGCCGUAACUUCGGGAGAAGGCACGCUGACACGUAGGUGAAGUGAUUUACUCAUGGAGCUGAAGUCAGUCGAAGAUACCAGCUGGCUGCAACUGUUUAUUAAAAACACAGCACUGUGCAAACACGAAAGUGGACGUAUACGGUGUGACGCCUGCCCGGUGCCGGAAGGUUAAUUGAUGGGGUCAGCGCAAGCGAAGCUCCUGAUCGAAGCCCCGGUAAACGGCGGCCGUAACUAUAACGGUCCUAAGGUAGCGAAAUUCCUUGUCGGGUAAGUUCCGACCUGCACGAAUGGCGUAAUGAUGGCCAGGCUGUCUCCACCCGAGACUCAGUGAAAUUGAACUCGCUGUGAAGAUGCAGUGUACCCGCGGCAAGACGGAAAGACCCCGUGAACCUUUACUAUAGCUUGACACUGAACAUUGAGCCUUGAUGUGUAGGAUAGGUGGGAGGCUUUGAAGUGUGGACGCCAGUCUGCAUGGAGCCGGCCUUGAAAUACCACCCUUUAAUGUUUGAUGUUCUAACGUGGACCCGUGAUCCGGGUUGCGGACAGUGUCUGGUGGGUAGUUUGACUGGGGCGGUCUCCUCCUAAAGAGUAACGGAGGAGCACGAAGGUUGGCUAAUCCUGGUCGGACAUCAGGAGGUUAGUGCAAUGGCAUAAGCCAGCUUGACUGCGAGCGUGACGGCGCGAGCAGGUGCGAAAGCAGGUCAUAGUGAUCCGGUGGUUCUGAAUGGAAGGGCCAUCGCUCAACGGAUAAAAGGUACUCCGGGGAUAACAGGCUGAUACCGCCCAAGAGUUCAUAUCGACGGCGGUGUUUGGCACCUCGAUGUCGGCUCAUCACAUCCUGGGGCUGAAGUAGGUCCCAAGGGUAUGGCUGUUCGCCAUUUAAAGUGGUACGCGAGCUGGGUUUAGAACGUCGUGAGACAGUUCGGUCCCUAUCUGCCGUGGGCGCUGGAGAACUGAGGGGGGCUGCUCCUAGUACGAGAGGACCGGAGUGGACGCAUCACUGGUGUUCGGGUUGUCAUGCCAAUGGCACUGCCCGGUAGCUAAAUGCGGAAGAGAUAAGUGCUGAAAGCAUCUAAGCACGAAACUUGCCCCGAGAUGAGUUCUCCCUGAGACUUAGAGUCUCCUGAAGGAACGUUGAAGACGACGACGUUGAUAGGCCGGGUGUGUAAGCGCAGCGAUGCGUUGAGCUAACCGGUACUAAUGAACCGUGAGGCUUAACCUUACA